AAUGGACAGUGUACCAAAAACGGCUUGACUUGUUUGUAAGUGGUAAACAAUCGUGUUUUUCACAUCGAGGAUUGAUAGUAGACUGUGGACAGCUGUUAAUUUGAAUGGAAAACCCUGAAAAAUCCCACGCCACGAGAAUGCCGUUAAACCCCGUUUGAAAGCGGUUCAUCCCAUGAAAACGCCGUUAAAAGCAGUUUGUUUGAAUUUGUUUCUGAAAGUCGGUGCGCCUGUAAGGUAUGCAAGCCGCAGGACACUGCUGCCACAGGAAGGAUAUUUUUUGUGCCAUGUUUGGCAAGGUAUGAACCUCAGCGAUUCCGCAAAACAACUUAGUCGCGAAGUUUUACUUUGGUAAGGAAGGAAAGUAAAAAUGUUUGCCAUUGGUUUCUCUUUUUUUGUACCCAUUUUUCCUCCAAUUCUAUACGCAA